rnacentral:rRNA from 1 species
GACGAACGCUGGCGGCGUGCUUAACACAUGUAAGUCGAACGGAAAGGCCCUGCUUUGGUGGGGUGCUCGAGUGGCGAACGGGUGAGUAACACGUGAGUAACCUGCCCUUGACUUUGGGAUAACUUCAGGAAACUGGGGCUAAUACCUGAUAGGAGCUCCUGCUGCAUGGUGGGGGUUGGAAAGUUUCGGCGGUUGGGGAUGGACUCGCGGCUUAUCAGCUUGUUGGUGGGGUAGUGGCUUACCAAGGCUUUGACGGGUAGCCGGCCUGAGAGGGUGACCAGCCACAUUGGGAGUGAGCUACGGCCCAGACUCCUACGGGAGGCAGCAGUGGGGAAUAUUGCACAAUGGGCGGAAGCCUGAUGCAGCAACUCCGCGUGCGAGAUGACGGCCUUCGGGUUGUAAACCGCUUUCGCCUGUGACGAAGCGUGAGUGAGGGUAAUGGGUAAAGAAGCAACGGCUAACUAGGUG